ACUCUGAACCGUACUUCAGUCGUGAUGGUGGUAAGCUGGGUGGAAAAUAUCUGAAGGCCAGAUACAUUUCAUACACUGAUGACACAUUUACUACCAAAACACAUAUUGCGGGCUCAGAUGUGCAUCUUGGAAUUCUGGGUCCGGUCAUUAAAGCAGAGACUGGUGAUGUUAUCAUUGUGACAUUCUUUAACAAUGCCACACAGGACUACAGCCUUCAGCCACACGGUCUGCAUUAUGAGAAGGCCUACGAAGGAGCAAAGUAUCAGGAUGGUACUCAGAAAGCUGGAGCCUCUGUGGCUCCUGGUAAAAAAUUCACCUACCGUUGGAAAGUAAUUGAAGGUCCCUCCAGCAGUGAUCCUCCUUGUCUUUCCUACUUGUACUAUUCUGCUGUCGAUCCUGUUCGGGACACUAACUCUGGUUUAUUUGGACCCAUACAAGUGUGCAAGAAA